GACGAACGCUGGCGGCGUGACUAAUACAUGCAAGUCGAACGCAGUGGGGACGGGUGAGUAACACGAGGGUAACCUCCAAUCAGAGGGGACAACACUUGGAAACAGGUGCUAAACCGAUACUGAUGGAUGGAAACGCGGUGCAUUAGCGAGUUGGUGCGGUAACGGCUCACCAAGGCCACGAUUCAUAGCCUACCUGAGAGGGUUGUCUGCCACACUGGGACUGAGACACGGCCCAGACUCCUACGCGAGGCAGCAGUAGGGAAUCUUCUGCAAUGGACGAAAGUCUGAUCGAGCAACGCCGCGUGAGUGAAGAAGGUUUGCGGAUCGUAAAACUCUGUUGUUAGAGAAGCGGUAUCUAACCAGAAAGCCACGGCUAACUACGUGCCAGCAGCCGCGGUAAUAC
rnacentral:rRNA from 1 species